GAUCCAGGGCACAACGCCACUGUCUGCCAGCUGCCCCGUGCUCUGGGCAGCGCGGGAGGCACAGGUGGUGAGGGGAAGCACAUGAAUGCUUGGGUUGGAAUCCCAGCUGUAUCAGCUUAGACACAGGUUAGAAUCCUUAGCCUCUUUGCAUGUCAGUUUGCUCAUCUAUAAACUGGUGUCAACAAAACUCACCUCGUAAGAGGGUUCUGGGGAUUAAAUGAAACUGCAUGUCAAGUGCCUUAACUACACCAGGCACUCAGGAAAGGGGACUAUUUUUAUAGGGAUUUCUCCAACUUGGCUGAAGAAUGCAGUUCCCAGGCAUGAAACACAUAAACAGUUUGAGAGAGAGGCAAUUCAAAACCAGAAGUGCUUGGGGCCGGCCUGGUGGUGUAGUGGUUAAGUUUGCGUGCUUUGCCUCGGGAGCCCGGGGUUCGCAGGCCCGGAUCCUGGGCAGGACCUACACAGCACUCAUCAAGCCAUGCUGUGGCAGCAUCCCACAUACAAAAUACAGAAAGACUGGCACAGACGUUAGCUCAGGCCCAUCUUCCUCACCAAACAAAACAAAACGAAAAACAGAAGUUCUUUUGGCACUGUAUUUGAAGCGAAUUGGAUUCCCUUUGGAUUAAGGAGGAGUAGACUUGAUCUCCUCCAAGAAUUUGCUUUCGAUUCAGACAGAUGCCAAAGCCACGGAGAACUCUGAGUUUGUCGGAAGAACCCCAGAGUGGAGGAUCAGACCCACGUGGAUUCGGGUUUUCAGGUUAUCAGAAGCAAAUCACUUCACUGGUCAGCCCCGAUUGCAGUGGUUCUCAAGCCCAGCUACACAUUAGCAUCACCUGGGGAACUCUUCCAACCUACGGGUGUGCGAGCCCGAUCCCAAACCAAUUUCACCAGGAUCUCUGCUGAGUGGGACGGGGUAUCACUGCUUUUAAGAGCUCCCUGGAUGAUUUUAAUGUGAGACCCACUGGACCAGAAGACCUGAAGAGCCCUCCCGGCAUCCUGGUUCCUACACCGAUGUAUGAUUCAGAGUAGACACUUAGUAUGUGUUUGUUGAAUAAAUGAAUGAAGAUUCUGACUCACCUUUUUCGCUAUGUCCAUAUUCACAAUGUAUGAGGGAAGCCCCCUGCCUCCACUGCCUUCAGUCUUUUGGGGACAGCUAAUGAAGUUGCCUUGCCCUCCUCCAGCCAAGGGGUGGGCUCAGGACCCAAACUAAGUGAGCCAGACUGUCCUCCCCGGGAAUUUGACUCUAGCUUCAGUGUCUCAAGAAUAGAAGAUGAAUUGGUACAGCUGAAUACCAAUGUUGAUGCCCUAAGACACUG
rnacentral:lncRNA from 1 species